GGAGAGGUGCCGGAGCGGUCGAACGGGGCGGUCUCGAAAACCGUUGUAGGCUUCGCUUACCGGGGGUUCGAAUCCCCCCCUCUCCG
rnacentral:tRNA from 1 species